rnacentral:rRNA from 1 species
AGGACGAACGCUGGCGGCGUGCUUAACACAUGCAAGUCGAGCGGAAAGGCCCUUCGGGGUACUCGAGCGGCGAACGGGUGAGUAACACGUGAGCAAUCUGCCCUUAGCUUCGGGAUAGCCCCGGGAAACCGGGAUUAAUACCGAAUAUGACCUCGGCCGACAUCGGCUUUGGUGGAAAGUUUUUCGGCUAGGGAUGAACUCGCGGCCUAUCAGCUUGUUGGUGGGGUAAUGGCCUACCAAGGCGACGACGGGUAGCCGGCCUGAGAGGGCGACCGGCCACACUGGGACUGAGACACGGCCCAGACUCCUACGGGAGGCAGCAGUGGGGAAUAUUGCGCAAUGGGCGAAAGCCUGACGCAGCGACGCCGCGUGGGGGAUGAAGGCCUUCGGGUUGUAACCCCUUUCAGCAGGGACGAAGCGAGAGUGACGGUACCUGCAGAAGAAGCGCCGGCUAACUACGCGCCAGCAGCCGC